rnacentral:rRNA from 1 species
UACGCAGGCGGCUGUGCAAGUCUGAGGUGAAAUUCCGAGGCUCAACCUCGGGGCUGCCUUGGAUACUGCACGGCUAGAGUUGUAAUAGGGGUGGCAGGAAUUCCUGGUGUAGGAGUGAAAUCUGUAGAUAUCAGGAGGAACACCAAUAGCGUAGGCAAGCCACUGGGUAACGACUGACGCUCAGGUACGAGAGCUAGGGGAGCAAAUG